rnacentral:rRNA from 1 species
CCUACGGGGGGCAGCAGUGGGGAAUAUUGCACAAUGGGGGGAACCCUUGAUCAGCCGACGCCCGGGGAAGGAGGAAGGUUUCCGGACCGUAAACUUCUAUAACCGGGGAGGAAGAAAGUGAAGGUACUGGACUAAAAGGCCCGGCCAAAUAAGUGCCAGGCGCCGCGGGUAUACGUAGGGGGCAAGCGUUAUCCGGAAUCACUGGGUGUAAAGGGGGCGUAGGCGGUAGGGCAAGUCAGAUGUGAAAGCCCGGGGCUCAACCCCGGGACUGCAUUUGAAACUGUCUUACUAGAGUGCAGGAGAGGAAAGCGGAAUUCCUAGUGUAGCGGUGAAAUGCGUAGAUAUUAGGAAGAACACCAGUGGCGAAGGCGGCUUUCUGGACUGUAACUGACGCUGAGGCACGAAAGCGUGGGGAGCGAACAGGAUUAGAUACCCUUGUAGUC